rnacentral:rRNA from 1 species
GGGAGAAAGCAGGGGACCUUCGGGCCUUGCGCUAUCAGAUGAGCCUAGGUCGGAUUAGCUAGUUGGUGGGGUAAUGGCUCACCAAGGCGACGAUCCGUAACUGGUCUGAGAGGAUGAUCAGUCACACUGGAACUGAGACACGGUCCAGACUCCUACGGGAGGCAGCAGUGGGGAAUAUUGGACAAUGGGCGAAAGCCUGAUCCAGCCAUGCCGCGUGUGUGAAGAAGGUCUUCGGAUUGUAAAGCACUUUAAGUUGGGAGGAAGGGCAGUAAAUUAAUACUUUGCUGUUUUGACGUUACCGACAGAAUAAGCACCGGCUAACUCUGUGCCAGCAGCCGCGGUAAUACAGAGGGUGCAAGCGUUAAUCGGAAUUACUGGGCGUAAAGCGCGCGUAGGUGGUUCGUUAAGUUGGAUGUGAAAUCCCCGGGCUCAACCUGGGAACUGCAUUCAAAACUGACGAGCUAGAGUAUGGUAGAGGGUGGUGGAAUUUCCUGUGUAGCGGUGAAAUGCGUAGAUAUAGGAAGGAACACCAGUGGCGAAGGCGACCACCUGGACUGAUACUGACACUGAGGUGCGAAAGCGUGGGGAGCAAACAGGAUUA